rnacentral:ncRNA from 2 species
CCUUCCGAGGAGCGUUGCGACGGGUUUUGCCCGCCAGGCUCGGAAAACGGGGUUUCCGGCCCGGCGGCACUCUACAUGGUGCUGCCUAUACCGCCCGGGUCAACGGCCAGGAAAUGGCCGCAACGGCGCUCACGUCUU